UUGAAUAAUGUUAUCAAAGGUUCUUGAAUAAGUUAUUUUCAAUAUUCAAGACUAAGAGGGAAACAGGUGUAAAUCCUGUACGGUCCCGCCGCUGUAAUUGGUGAGGUUUCACAUAAGACAUGACUAAUGCCACUGGAUAAAAUCCGGGAAGGCGUGAAUCCAAUGAACCUGAGUCAGAAGACCUGCCUUUGAAUUAACACCAAA
rnacentral:ncRNA from 2 species